rnacentral:rRNA from 1 species
GUAAGUCGGGACCUAAGGCCAGGCCGAAAGGCGUAGUCGAUGGAUAGCAGGUUGAUAUUCCUGCACCCGCGAGUAAAGUGAUGGAGUGACAGAUAGGGUUAACCAGAGUCCUAAAUGGAUUGGGCAAGGCAAGCAGGAGAGUGGCGUAGGCAAAUCCGCGUCGGAUACUCAAAGGCUUGACUCAAGCGAACGCGCGAGCAAGUAGUGAAGAAGGUGAUACCAGGUCUCGAGAAAAGCUUCUAGCGAUAAUUUACUAGCGGCCCGUACCAAAACCGACACAGGUGGUUGAGGCGAGUAGCCUAAGGUGAGCGAGAGAACUGUUGCCAAGGAACUCGGCAAAUUGACCCCGUACGUUAGCAAUAAGGGGUGCUCGAAAGAGCCGCAGUGAAUAGGCCCUAGCAACUGUUUAACUAAAACAUAGCUCUCUGCGAAGUCGCAAGACGAAGUAUAGGGGGUGACACCUGCCCGGUGCUGGAAGGUCAAAAGGAAGUGUUCGGAGAAAUCCAAAGCACUGAAUUGAAGCCCCAGUGAACGGCGGCCGUAACUAUAACGGUCCUAAGGUAGCGAAAUUCCUUGUCAGGUAAGUUCUGACCCGCACGAAAGGUGUAAUGAUUUGGGCACUGUCUCGGCAGCAGACUCGGUGAAAUCUUAGUACCUGUGAAGAUGCAGGUUACCCGCAACUAGACGGAAAGACCCCAUGGAGCUUUACUGUAGUCUGCUAUUGAGUUUCGGUUAAGUAUGCACAGGAUAGGUGGGAGACGAUGAGACUGGUCUUUCGGGAUCAGAGGAGUCACUGUUGGGAUACCACUCUUACUUAAUUGAAAUUCUAACUCUAAGCCGUGAUCCGGCUAGAGGACCGUGGCAGAUGGGCAGUUUGACUGGGGCGGUCGCCUCCCAAAGAGUAACGGAGGCGCACAAAGGUACUCUCAGAAUGGUUGGAAAUCAUUCAACGAGCGCAAACGCAGAAGAGUGCUUGACUGCGAGACAAACAAGUCGAGCAGGGACGAAAGUCGGUGUUAGUGAUCCGGCGGUGCAGAAUGGAAUGGCCGUCGCUUAACGGAUAAAAGCUACCCUGGGGAUAACAGGCUGAUCUCGCCCAAGAGUUCACAUCGACGGGGAGGUUUGGCACCUCGAUGUCGGCUCAUCGCAU